AACAUUUUCUUCUUUUUUUUUUUUUGAAAGAGAUAGAUAGCAUACUACGUACCCGCUUCGAUUAUUUAUUUAGAAAUAAGCUUAGCUGGAAAUGUGAAUCAACUAGGAUUCGAACUUGGGUCUCGGGUACCAAUCAUCAAGUCCUUUACCACUUGUUUUAGGGACGAUCGGUGUGUAACAUUUUCUUUGCGGAUAAUUUAUGAUUUUAUUAUCUUUUCAUUU
rnacentral:lncRNA from 1 species